AGGAACUUGCAAUGCUAACUCAAUCCAUAGCAGAAUUUGAUGAUAUGGACAUUGAUAAGUCACCAGGAAAUUGGGAUGACACACCAGCUGCAACUAAAAGAAGGCCUUAUGAUGAUAUUGAGGAUGAUGACAAAAAACAUGUCUUUAAGAAAGGCAAGAAAUCUAAUAUGCAGCCAUCAACCAAGUAAAAAAUUACAACAGAUAUUGGCCAUGCAACAACUAUUUUGAUGCUUACUUCAAAACCACCUUUUGUCGCUUCCUGUGUCCCAGCCAAACACACCAAUAUCCAUACUGCUUUUGUGACAAACACAACUAUAUUCACAAUGCUUUGGAAGUGGCUCUUCUUUUCGUGUAUAUAAUGCCAUCUUCUUACUCUGUUUCUUCACAAGUUGGGUUAUGUGAUAGUUCAAACACUAAAUAUCCCUCUUGCGAAUAUAUUUAUAU